rnacentral:rRNA from 1 species
UCCGUAGGCGGAUCUGUAAGUCAGUGGUGAAAUCUCACAGCUUAACUGUGAAACUGCCAUUGAUACUGCAGGUCUUGAGUAAAUUUGAAGUGGCUGGAAUAAGUAGUGUAGCGGUGAAAUGCAUAGAUAUUACUUAGAACACCAAUUGCGAAGGCAGGUCACUAAGAUUUAACUGACGCUGAUGGACGAAAGCGUGGGGAGCGAACAGGAUUAGAUACCCCAGUA